rnacentral:snoRNA from 1 species
UAUUACGCAUGAACCUAUCCCGAACCUGAUUCCUGUAAGAUUGACAACCCUGUCGGAUCUGACUUCUGAAAU